rnacentral:rRNA from 1 species
GAUGAACGCUGGCGGCGUGCUUAACACAUGCAAGUCGAACGGAGUUUUAGUGAAUGAUUGAUCUAGCUUGCUAUUGAGAGAAUUCACUAAAACUUAGUGGCGGACGGGUGAGUAACGCGUGGGUAACCUGCCGUAUGCAGGGGGACAACAGCUGGAAACGGCUGCUAAUACCGCAUAAGCGCACAGUACCGCAUGGUACAGUGUGAAAAGUUCUGGCGGCAUACGAUGGACCCGCGUCUGAUUAGCUAGUUGGUGGGGUAACGGCCCACCAAGGCGACGAUCAGUAGCCGGCCUGAGAGGGUGAACGGCCACAUUGGGACUGAGACACGGCCCAA